UUGGUAGAAGCUGCCCUGGUGACCGCAGGAACUCCUCCUGAGUCCUAACCAGCUUGCUCUGGGAACUGCCCCAGGGUCUUAGAGAAAACUAGCCCAGAGGGUAGCCACAGGUCUAUUGUCCUUUGGGCUGUUUCAUCAGCCCCUUUCUGAUACUGCUCUUUCAAGGAUUUUUUUAAAUAAGACCUUAAGGAGAUCUGGAUCUAAAAAAGGUUGGCAUUCAGGAAGAUGCUCAGGAAGGAUCCUGAGACAAAACUGCGAGUAGUAGAGCUGAGGAAGCGCUAGAUUGGGACAAAAUUCUGUUUUAGUUUUGGUUCUGCCAUUUUCCAGCAAAAGGGAAUAGUCCCCUGAACUUUUUGAUCCUCUCUUUUCUCAUGGACAAAAUUGGUGUACUACAACCCACCACACAGCGGUGGGUAAAGGUUCUGUAUGGGGUGUGAAGCAGGUAAUGAACGUUACUUGUCAUUGUAGUACUUACGGCCCAGACUGCUGCCAGCUCCCACUUGCACAGCCCUGUCUACCAUGGCGCUUCCAUUCUUUCCCAAUCAAUAGCAAAAUGUCUACUUGGAGAUCAGGACUUCUGAGGCUGUACUUUGUGGACUCCGGUUUAUAAAACUCUUGAAAUCGCAUGCAAAAGUGCAUUUGCACAUAUGAGUAAGAUUUUUCUAGGGAAAAGAUGCAUAAGGUUUAUUCAGAUUCCCCAUGAGAGUCCAACCUCUACAAAGUUUCAGACGUGGAAUUUGAGAAUUAAACCUUUGAUUUCAUCAUCACCCUCCUACAGUGGGUCUAAGGUUCUAGCAAAUUUAACAGUGUUGUCUGAUGGUAACACAGAGUAUUGGAAAAUGCAACUAUUAGGGAAAAUCAGUGACAUGCAAUUAACUGCUUUGCCUGCAAGCUGGAGGAAGGCAAAGCGGCAACUCUGCCUACAUUAUUGUCAGCUGUUUGACACUGAGCAAGCCCCUCCCCCUCACUGACCUUCAGUGACCUCCUCUGUAAAAUGAGAAGGUGAACUAUGGUUUCCCAAAGUCCCUCAACAACUCCAGCAUAAUAUAAUUCUUGUAGGAAGCAGGAUGAAAGCGGACCUAGAUCCCUAUAGUAAAUGAAAAAGAAUGGGGAGAAAAAGGUGCUGUGUGCCUAUGAUUCCUUGAUUCCAGGGACUUCAUCCCUGAUAAUGUUCUGAGACUGAGUCUGCUGCUCAGAAAGUUCCAAGGUGAAGGAAAUAGAAGAACUGCUCCAAGAAACUUGGAUAACCCGGCCUGGACUGCCCCCCACCCUUCCAGGAUCCACGAUCAAAUUAUCAGCACUCCUCUACAGGGCCUGGCCUUUCUGGCCCUGACUCAUCUCAUACAUCACCAUCCAGUCGGUGCCAGAUCCACGAGAGGUGCCUGCUUGUGUCUUCAGGCUUGCACGAUCAGUGAACAGCUGUGGAGCAUCAACACCUCCCUGCAAACACGUCAGUCCUCACGUCCCAAAGAUCCCGGAAGCUCUGAUGCAGAAAGAAAAGUCUGAGCUCUUCAGACCUAUCAAGAGGAGACAUGGAAACUCUCUGCCUGCAGCCCCACAGAGAACACUGCAAGGCUAUGGAAAGUCGGUCCUGACAGGGAUCUCAAGAGAACAGCUUGCUUGAGCCGGGCCUCAGGGCCGCGAGGGAGCCUCAGAAGAGCCGCUUCUCCAGCGAGCGCCUGAGGAACACCAGCCACCUCUGCGAGGGAAGUCGCCCAUGGGGACUCGGGCCCCCAGGCCUGUUCGCUGCCCUGCGGAACAACCUCAGGCCUCGGCUGGGGGCCUGGACGUCGGACGGACGAAGCUCCUCAGGCAGGCGCUCUGCCGCCCCCUGCAGAGAACCUGUUCUCUCCUCCUGUGUCCAAACGCACGCUAACUCUGGGAUAUGGC